rnacentral:rRNA from 1 species
UACGGAGGGUGCAAGCGUUCUCCGGAUUUCCUGGGUUUAAAGGGUGUGUAGGCGGGCUAUUAAGUCAGUGGUGAAAUCUCCGGGCUCAACCUGGAAACUGCCAUUGAUACUAUUAGUCUUGAAUUUUGUUGAGGUAGGCGGAAUAAGUCAUGUAGCGGUGAAAUGCAUAGAUAUGACUUAGAACACCAAUUGCGAAGGCAGCUUGCUAAACAAAUAUUGACGCUGAGGCACGAAAGCGUGGGGAUCAAACAGG